UGCGCCGAGUCCUGACGUCAAAAGCCUGCUCAUCCUAGACCACGCCAGCAUCUUCCUUGACUCUUACCAUGAGUACUGCAGCGCUGUGGGCAACUUCCAGGUGAUGGGAGGUUUCCAGACCCUGACCAAACCCUCACUAGAUUUCUUUGGGAAGAAUCCCGAGCUGCUUAAAA